UACACGUGUCCUGAUUCAUUUUCGGUUUAAUAAGGUUAGAUCAGGCAAUUAACCUAAUCAUCAGAGGGCAAAUUCGUCUCUUCAUUCAUUCAGCGAGAAGUUCGUUACACUGAUAUCCCGAGUAGCACUGGACGAACAGAUGUUGAUUUUGAAGAAAAUCGACCGAUCGGUGAUCAUGCUCAAUUAUCUGCUUAUCAGAGAGUUUCGAUUGAGGAUGUUUUAAAUCCGCGACCUGCAAAUCCAAUUCCAAUUUCAAGUACAAGUCAUGCAAACGAGUGUUCUAAUGAUGAAAGGGUUUACACUCCGGAGGUUCAAGCAUCACCUACACCUGUUGUUGGAAUGCAAUUUAUCUCUAUUGAACAAGCAUAUGCGUUUUAUCAAUCAUAUGCUAAGUUAGCUGGUUUUUCUAUUCGGAAAGGUGGUGAAGUAUACAGUGGUGGUAUAAUCAAAACUAAGUAUUUUGUUUGUUCUAAAGAGGGACAUAAGCCUCUGUGUAUUGAUGAUCAUUCGAAGU